rnacentral:rRNA from 1 species
UUAAGUUGGUAAUGGUAGACGCGAAACCGUGUGAUCUACCCUUGGGCAGGUUGAAGCUGUGGUAACACAUAGUGGAGGACCGAACCCGUUGACGUUGAAAAGUCUUGGGAUGACCUGAGGGUAGGGGUGAAAGGCCAAUCAAACUCGGAAAUAGCUCGUACUCCCCGAAAUGCAUUUAGGUGCAGCGGUAUAAUAGUUUUAUAGAGGUAGAGCUACUGAUUGGAUGCGGGGGCUUCACCGCCUACCAAUUCCUGACAAACUCCGAAUGCUAUAAAAUGUUUUAUAUCAGUGAGGGCAUGGGUGCUAAGGUCCGUGUCCGAGAGGGAAAGAACCCAGACCAUCAGCUAAGGUCCCCAAAUAUAUGUUAAGUUGAAGAAACGCGGUUGGACUGCCCAGACAGCUAGGAUGUUGGCUUGGAAGCAGCCAUUCAUUUAAAGAGUGCGUAACAGCUCACUAGUCGAGCGGUCCGGCAUGGAUAAUAAUCGGGCAUAAACAUAUUACCGAAGCUAUGGAUUUCAUAUUUAGAUAUGGAGUGGUAGGGGAGCAUUGUAACAGAGAUGAAGGUGUACUGCGAGGUAUGCUGGAUUGGUUACAAAAGAAAAUGUAGGCAUAAGUAACGAUAAUGCAGGCGAGAAACCUGCACACCGAAAGACUAAGGUUUCCCCAGCUAUGCUAAUCAGCUGGGGGUUAGUCGGGACCUAAGGCGAACCCGAAAGGGGUAGUCGAUGGACAACAGAUUAAUAUUUCUGUACUUGCCCCACGUUAAAGCGGACGGAGGCGAACAGUUGGUGCGUGCUGACGGAAUAGCACGUUGAAGGGAGUGGUAACACCCCGAUAGUACACAAAAGCUUCGGCCGGCGUGAUAAUCCAGCGAAUCGACUUCCAAGAAAAGCGAGUGGUGGCAACCCGUACCGUAAACCGACACAGGUAGUUGGGAUGAGAAUUCUAAGGUGCUCGAGAGAUUCAUGGCUAAGGAACUAGGCAAAAUGGGCCCGUAACUUCGGGAGAAGGGUCGCCCCGCUUUAGGCGGGGCCGCAGUGAAGAGGUCCAGGCGACUGUUUAUCAAAAACACAGGGCUCUGCUAAAUCGAAAGAUGAUGUAUAGGGCCUGACACCUGCCCGGUGCUGGAAGGUUAAGAGGAGAUGUUAGCUUCGGCGAAGCAUUGAAUUGAAGCCCCAGUAAACGGCGGCCGUAACUAUAACGGUCCUAAGGUAGCGAAAUUCCUUGUCGGGUAAGUUCCGACCUGCACGAAUGGUGCAACGAUCUGGACACUGUCUCAGCCAUGAGCUCGGUGAAAUUGUAGUAUCGGUGAAGAUGCCGAUUACCCGCUACGGGACGAAAAGACCCCGUGCACCUUUACUAUAGCUUAGUAUUGACUUUGGACAAGUGAUGUGUAGGAUAGGUGGGAGACUUUGAAGCGCCGUCGCCAGGCGGUGUGGAGUCAUUGUUGAAAUACCACCCUUUACUUGUUCGGAGCCUAACCUCAUUAGAUGAGGGACAGUGCUUGGUGGGUAGUUUGACUGGGGUGGUCGCCUCCAAAAGAGUAACGGAGGCUUCUAAAGGUUCCCUCAGCACGCUUGGUAACCGUGCGUAGAGUGCAAUGGCAAAAGGGAGCUUGACUGAGAGACAUACAGGUCGAUCAGGUACGAAAGUAGAGCAUAGUGAUCCGGUGACACCGCAUGGAAGGGUCAUCGCUCAAAGGAUAAAAGGUACGCCGGGGAUAACAGGCUGAUCUCCCCCAAGAGCUCACAUCGACGGGGGGGUUUGGCACCUCGAUGUCGGCUCGUCACAUCCUGGGGCUGGAGAAGGUCCCAAGGGUUGGGCUGUUCGCCCAUUAAAGUGGCACGCGAGCUGGGUUCAGAACGUCGUGAGACAGUUCGGUCUCUAUCUGUAGUGGGCGUUAGAAAUUUGAGUGGACCUGAUCCUAGUACGAGAGGACCGGAUUGGACCAACCUCUGGUGCACCAGUUGUUCCGCCAGGAGCAUUGCUGGGUAGCUACGUUGGGAAGGGAUAAGCGCUGAAAGCAUAUAAGCGCGAAACCCACCACAAGAUGAGAUUUCUUUAAAGGACCGUGGGAGACGACCACGUUGAUAGGCCAUAGGUGUAAAGGCAGCAAUGUCAUAGCCGAGUGGUACUAAUAAUCCGUAAAGCUUGAUGC